UAGAGUUUGAUCCUGGCUCAGGAUGAACGCUGGCGGCGUGCUUAACACAUGCAAGUCGAACGAUGAUCCGGUGCUUGCACCGGGGAUUAGUGGCGAACGGGUGAGUAACACGUGAGUAACCUGCCCUUGACUCUGGGAUAAGCCUGGGAAACUGGGUCUAAUACCGGAUAUGACUCCUCAUCGCAUGGUGGGGGGUGGAAAGCUUUUGCGGUUUUGGAUGGACUCGCGGCCUAUCAGCUUGUUGGUGAGGUAAUGGCUCACCAAGGCGACGACGGGUAGCCGGCCUGAGAGGGUGACCGGCCACACUGGGACUGAGACACGGCCCAGACUCCUACGGGAGGCAGCAGUGGGGAAUAUUGCACAAUGGGCGGAAGCCUGAUGCAGCGACGCCGCGUGAGGGAUGACGGCCUUCGGGUUGUAAACCUCUUUCAGUAGGGAAGAAGCGAAAAUGACGGUACCUGCAGAAGAAGCGCCGGCUAACUACGUGCCAGCAGCCGCGGUAAUACGUAGGGCGCAAGCGUUAUCCGGAAUUAUUGGGCGUAAAGAGCUCGUAGGCGGUUUGUCGCGUCUGCCGUGAAAGUCCGGGGCUCAACUCCGGAUCUGCGGUGGGUACGGGCAGACUAGAGUGAUGUAGGGGAGACUGGAAUUCCUGGUGUAGCGGUGAAAUGCGCAGAUAUCAGGAGGAACACCGAUGGCGAAGGCAGGUCUCUGGGCAUUAACUGACGCUGAGGAGCGAAAGCAUGGGGAGCGAACAGGAUUAGAUACCCUGGUAGUCCAUGCCGUAAACGUUGGGCACUAGGUGUGGGGGACAUUCCACGUUUUCCGCGCCGUA
rnacentral:rRNA from 1 species